rnacentral:rRNA from 1 species
UACGUAGGGGGCAAGCGUUGUCCGGAAUCAUUGGGCGUAAAGAGCGUGUAGGCGGCUCGAUAAGUCCGCUGUGAAAGUCCAGGGCUCAACCCUGGAAGGCCGGUGGAAACUGUCGGGCUAGAGUCCGGAAGAGGCGAGUGGAAUUCCCGGUGUAGCGGUGAAAUGCGCAGAUAUCGGGAGGAACACCAAUGGCGAAGGCAGCUCGCUGGGACGGUACUGACGCUGAGGCGCGAAAGCGUGGGGAGCAAACAGG